CACUCCUACGGGAGGCAGCAGUGGGGAAUUUUGGACAAUGGGCGAAAGCCUGAUCCAGCAAUGCCGCGUGAGUGAAGAAGGCCUUCGGGUUGUAAAGCUCUUUUGUCAGGGAAGAAACGGUGAGAGCUAAUAUCUCUUGCUAAUGGCGGUACCUGAAGAAUAAGCACCGGCUAACUACGUGCCAGCAGCCGCGGUAAUACGUAGGGUGCAAGCGUUAAUCGGAAUUACUGGGCGUAAAGCGUGCGCAGGCGGUUUUGUAAGUCUGAUGUGAAAUCCCCGGGCUCAACCUGGGAAUUGAAUUGGAGACUGCAAGGCUAGAAUCUGGCAGAGGGGGGUAGAAUUCCACGUGUAGCAGUGAAAUGCGUAGAUAUGUGGAGGAACACCGAUGGCGAAGGCAGCCCCCUGGGUCAAGAAUGACGCUCAUGCACGAAAGCGUGGGGAGCAAACAGGAUUAGAAACCCCAGUAGUCCCAUG
rnacentral:rRNA from 1 species